AUAUAGGUAUUAUGUACAAUUCACGACAGGUCUAGAUGGCAAUUUUCUAGUGAGGUGACAUCACAUAUCGGGUAAUCGAUAUCUAUAUUUUUUUUGUAGGUACGCAA